rnacentral:lncRNA from 1 species
GCCAAUAUAUGAUUAAUACUAAACCCGGUAAAAUAACACAAGGUUCCUACUAUUAAUCGCAAAUUCACACAAUCAAUCAUAUUCCAGAAUCUAGCAUAAAGACUAAUUCCAGAAUACCUAACUAUCCACAACUUAGCUAUAUCAUCUAAGCAAUUCUGGCCAAUAUAUGAUUAAUAAUAAACCCGGUAAAAAUAACACAAGGUUCCUAGUAUUAAUCGCCACACAAUCAACACAUUCCACCUCAAAAAUGCCUAGCAU